rnacentral:rRNA from 1 species
AGAGUUUGAUCCUGGCUCAGGACGAACGCUGGCGGCGUGCUUAACACAUGCAAGUCGAACGAUGAAGCGGUGCUUGCACCGUGGAUUAGUGGCGAACGGGUGAGUAAUACGUGAGUGACCUACCUUUGACUCUGGGAUAAGCCUGGGAAACUGGGUCUAAUACCGGAUACGACCAAUCUCUGCAUGGGGUGUUGGUGGAAAGCGUUAUGGAGUGGUUUUAGAUGGGCUCACGGCCUAUCAGCUUGUUGGUGAGGUAAUGGCUUACCAAGGCGACGACGGGUAGCCGGCCUGAGAGGGUGACCGGCCACACUGGGACUGAGACACGGCCCAGACUCCUACGGGAGGCAGCAGUGGGGAAUAUUGCACAAUGGGCGCAAGCCUGAUGCAGCGACGCCGCGUGAGGGAUGACGGCCUUCGGGUUGUAAACCUCUGUUAGCAUCGAAGAAGCGAAAGUGACGGUAGGUGCAGAGAAAGCGCCGGCUAACUACGUGCCAGCAGCCGCGGUAAUACGUAGGGCGCGAGCGUUGUCCGGAAUUAUUGGGCGUAAAGAGCUUGUAGGCGGUUGGUCGCGUCUGCUGUGAAAGGCCGGGGCUUAACUCCGGUUUUGCAGUGGGUACGGGCUAACUAGAGUGCAGUAGGGGAGACUGGAAUUCCUGGUGUAGCGGUGGAAUGCGCAGAUAUCAGGAGGAACACCGAUGGCGAAGGCAGGUCUCUGGGCUGUAACUGACGCUGAGAAGCGAAAGCAUGGGGAGCGAACAGGAUUAGAUACCCUGGUAGUCCAUGCCGUAAACGUUGGGCACUAGGUGUGGGGGACAUUCCACGUUUUCCGCGCCGUAGCUAACGCAUUAAGUGCCCCGCCUGGGGAGUACGGCCGCAAGGCUAAAACUCAAAGGAAUUGACGGGGGC